CAAACGGGUGAUACACUAUAUCAACGAAUGCUAUUGAACUUUUCAAAAAUACGAACAAAGAAAACAGAAGAUCCAGUAGCCAACCAUUUCAUUCAGAACAAUCAUUCAAUAACAAAUUUAAAAGUUACCGCCAUAGAAAGAGUAUUUGGGACAGAAACUUACAGAAAAACUAAAGAAGCCUUUUGGAUAAAAAAAUUAAAAACUCUAGAACCUGAAGGACUCAACACAAUGUAUGAACGAUGAUAAAUAUAUUUAUAUUGAAAAAGCGAAAAACGCGGCAAAUGAACGUCAUAAAAGUUAUUAUAACGUAAUGUAUAAUUUAUUGUUGUUACGUAAUUCGUUGCUUUGACAUUUUAUUGCGGAGAUUUUCUUACUCUUCGUUCUUUUAAUUUUUUCUUCUAUUUUUUGCAGUUCAUUCUCAUGAUUCUGUUGAAUUUCUUGUAAAAUAUCAAUUCCAAAAAUGUUUAUGAUGUUGCUGUGAAAGUUGGAGUAGAAGACUUUUUAAACUAUGUGAAAAGAAAUGCCGCUACGGAAGUCAUCUUUCAUUUUUGGAAACCUGUGAUAGACUUAAAAUCAUACCAAAGGGAUUUACUUUAAAGUGGACAUUAAACUUAGGUAAAGUGGACGCCAGUCAUCAAGAAAAUGUGAAUAAUAUCUUAGAAAACUCUUCAUAUCAAUUAAUCAAAGAAAGUAUAAAGGUAUGUGCUACGCAAAUUCAAGAAGUUGAUAACAAUUUAACACAAAUACACAGCAACAUCAUAAACAUUUUUGGAAUUGAUAUUUUACAAGAAAUUCAACAGAAUCAUGAGAAUGAACUGCAAAAAAUAGAAGAAAAAAUUAAAAGAACGAAGAGUAAGAAAAUCUCCGCAAUAAAAUGUCAAAGCAACGAAUUACGUAACAACAAUAAAUUAACAACAGAUAUUCAAACUAGAACUAACCCGAUUAAAGAGCAAAAUAUAAACAUAGUGAAAGACGGGAAUUGUUUUUUUCGAUGCAUCUCAAAAUAUUUAUUCGACACCCAAGAAAGACAUGAAGAUAUUCGUCACCAAAUUUUAACAACAAUUUCAACAGACAAAAACUUUUAUACGGAAUUUAUUGACGGUGAUUUCGAUACCCAUUUAAAUAACAUUUCAAAAACAGAUGGACACUCAACAUCCUGGGCUACGGAAGCAGAAAUUAUAGCAGCUAGUGAAAC
rnacentral:lncRNA from 1 species